rnacentral:misc_RNA from 1 species
GAUGAAGAACGUAGCGAAAUGCGAUAAGUAAUGUGAAUUGCAGAAUUCAGUGAAUCAUCGAAUCUUUGAACGCACAUUGCGCCCCCUGGUAUUCCGGGGGGCAUGCCUGUCCGAGCGUCAUUACAACCCUCAAGCUCAGCUUGGUGUUGGGCCCCGCCGCCCCGGCGGGCCCUAAAGUCAGUGGCGGUGCCGUCCGGCUCCGAGCGUAGUAGCACACCUCACACUGGGAAACAGCGUGGCCACGCCGUAAAACCCCCCACUUCUGAAAGGUUGACCUCGGAUCAGGUAGGAAUACCCGCUGAACUUAAGCAUAUCAAUAAGCGGAGGA